AAGGAAAAACAAGAUAAUGCUAACAUAUAUUUUUAUUAAUAGAUUAAUCUUUCCAUUAAAAUAUAUUUUUAGUCAGUUGCAAAUUGAAGCAAUAAUUCAAAUUCAAAGACUAAAUUGUUGGAACUAAACUGUCGCACAAAAAGUGAAAUAUGAUGGACUAAACUGUUACAGUUUUUAACCCACUAACUUAUUUGUUCUUGAAAAUGAAAGGAUUAAAUUAUGAUUUUUAUCAUAUUUUAUAGACUAACUUGUAAAUUAGUCCUAAUAUAAAAAUGAAUAUUUUACAAAAUGCCCCUUUAGGCUUGGCCUAAACCAUAAUGUGAUUCUCCUAUUUUUAAUUUUAAACAAUUAGUCACCCAUAUUUCCUUUUGCUAAAAAAAUGUCAUUCUAUCCAAAUUUAACCUAAAUUAAUUAUUAGUCAAUGCUUAAAGUAAAGUCAAACUUUGAACUAAUUUCAAUAUCAUGUUGCCCUUAAUACCCUCAUAUUGUUGUUGCCCCACCAUCCUCCAAUCCAUCCACCUAACCCAAUAGCGAGCACAUCAUUCCCUCAAUUACUAGAAAAGAGUGUGUAGAGACUAGGAGGGGAUUUGAAGCUUAAAUUUUUGCUCUCUCUCUCUUCUCUUUUGUGAACACAAAUCCAACAACCGCCCUCCUACGAAUGCACACCUAACAAACCUUGAGCUUAUGAUUGUUGAGAAUUUUCAUUUCAAUUGUAUUUCUUAAAAUUUUGGGUUAAUUUCUCUAGAUUAUGGAUUUAUGAACUUGAAUUUUUGAGGAUUUGUUGGAUUGAUUUGUGAAUUUAUUGGUCAAUUUGUUGAUUCAAUUCUUGCAUUCUGGAGAUUUUGGGAAGAGAGAGUGACAAAAACUGAGACUAAGA
rnacentral:misc_RNA from 1 species